rnacentral:lncRNA from 1 species
GUGUGUGAGAUCGACCAGACAAGUGCAGGAGGGCGACCAAGUUCAUCAAAACCCUAGUUCAGCAUAAAAUCUCUAAAUUGAAGGAUCAAACUCAGUCCAAAUCAAAAUCCGAACAUAGAUUAGUGAUCCUCAUCACAAGGGGGUUACAAGGUGAUUCAUGGGCAAAGAAUCCGGAUCGUCAAGCGGACAAGCCGGAGCGGAUACGCGUUUGAAGGGUGUGCUCUAAAGGUACGCAACUUGUCACCUCGUUACAAUUAUGUAGAUAAGCCUAGUCGUAAAUAUGUCUAAUGUUGUAUAGCGAAAAUAGUUGCGUUUGGUGAGUCUAAGAAGUGAUGUAAUUCACUCGACAAACCAAACGGGUCAAAAGAAUUAGUUGAAAUAGGUAUGAUGUCGAAAUAGUGAAAUUGAAACCCUUUUGUAAGUCUAAGAAGUGAUGGAAUUUACUAGAUGAAGAAUGUGUUAAAACAAUGGUCGAAACGGUAGUGUUUGGAGUUACUAAAACGUCACUCGUUAAAUUGGGUUAUAAAAACAGAAAUCGUGGAUUAGAAGGGAUACGCUAAGGUCGACGAGCCCGGGAAUGGGUAGUUAUGGUUAGAAGGCAAUGUCGACGAAUUAUGAAGGUAUGUAACUUGACCCGUUACAUUAAACAAAUUGUUGUUAAAUCAUGCGUAGUCACGUUUUAGAAUAGGAAUUGUGUUGAUCGUAGUGAUCACAAUUGUUACUUGAAUUGAUAGAGUCAAAUUGGUAAGGAACCGAUUGGUAGUCAUCACAUUGGAAGAAUUUCCACAAGAUGAGCCAACGGGUCGAAUAUGGUAUAAAUUCUAGUAUUGGUGUCUAAUUAGUUAGUAAAGGCGAUAUCGAUCACAAGAGCAUUAAACCAUGGAAUUGGUAAGGAAAUGCGAGUGAUGCUAAGCCUCGGAUGUUGGGUGAAAACGCCUUAAGGUUGCUAUUGCAUAGUAGUAAAGUUGUGUAAAUAUAGUGGGUCAAAUAUCUAAAUAGAAAUUUUAGUGACUAAGUCCGUAAACCAAAUUUUCGGGAUAAUAAUUAUGGUAGACACAUUGGUAAUUUAAUUACGGUCGUGUAGGAAAAAGAAUCACCAAAAACGGACCUACGGAUCAUAAGUUAUGGCAAUUUUAAGUUGGGAUGUGAAUAAACUUGGAGCUGGGAAUCUGCAGCAUCAGCAAAGCAAACAAUCUGCCAAAAAGGGGGCUAGGUGGGGCGUCUAGCCCCUAGGCGUCACGCGACGCCCCCCCUGAAUCCCAAAAAUGUUUAAUUUUGAUUGUUUGACCCUUAGAACUUGUUUAUACCCAUUUUAGCUUCAUCAAAACUAACAUUUGUUGUGGUUUUGAUCUUAGGUGAUGUUGGAAACUAACCGGAAGAUGAUCGAGCUGGCUUUUGAAGAACCGAACACUAUUUACAAGCUUCCGCAAUGUCCUAAACUUUAAAGGAUUAUGAUUUUGAGUUAUAAACAAAUUGUUAAAUAACUUUAGGGAUGUUUUAACUUAGUCGUUAGUCGAUUAAGGUUUUUGUUACUAAUGAAUUAUAUUUAUGAAAAUCUGUGCUACCUAGGUAUCUUUUAUUUUAAAAUGGUAUGAUUCAUUAUUAAAUUCAAGUAAAUUAGAUGGGUGU